rnacentral:rRNA from 1 species
UACGUAGGCAGCAAGCGUUUGUUCGGAAUUACUGGGCGUAAAGAGUGUGUAGGCGGUGCUCUAAGUUCGGUGUGAAAUCUCCCCGGCUCAACUGGGGAGGGUGCGCCGAAAACUGGGGUGCUGGAGCGCGGGAGAGGAAAGCGGAAUCCUGGUGUAGCGGUGAAAUGCGUAGAUAUCAGGAGGAACACCGGCGGUGUAGACGGCUUUCUGGACCGUAGCUGACGCUGAGACACGAAAGACGUGGGUAGCAAACAGG